rnacentral:rRNA from 1 species
UACGUAGGGUGCGAGCGUUAAUCGGAAUUACUGGGCGUAAAGCGUGCGCAGGCGGUUCGUUGUGUCGGUGGUGAAAUCCCCGGGCUUAACCUGGGAAUGGCCAUGGAAACUGGCGAACUGGAGUGCGGCAGAGGGGGGUGGAAUUCCGCGUGUAGCAGUGAAAUGCGUAGAGAUGUGGAGGAACACCAGUGGCGAAGGCGACUCUUUGGCCUGUAACUGACGCUGAGGCGCGAAAGCGUGGGGAGCGAACAGG